rnacentral:lncRNA from 1 species
GUUUCUAUAUUGGUUCGGCCUCAAUGCCUACAUCUAGUGUCCUUCCAGUACCAGGAAACAAAUGCAUUAUAAUGGUCAAGGUUUUUACAACAAGGCUUUUAAAGAAGACCUCCACGUCAAAAAUAUAAAACACCUCUCUAACCCUCUAGCCAAAAUAUAGGCAAUAACAACACAACAAGACUUGCAGCAAGAUGUCCCCUCUCCUACAAUCUGCAAC